UACGGGGGGGGCAAGCGUUGUUCGGAAUUAUUGGGCGUAAAGAGCUUGUAGGCGGUUUGUCGCGUCUGCUGUGAAAUUUCGGGGCUCAACCCCGAACUUGCAGUGGGUACGGGCAGACUAGAGUGUGGUAGGGGAGACUGGAAUUCCUGGUGUAGCGGUGAAAUGCGCAGAUAUCAGGAGGAACACCGAUGGCGAAGGCAGGUCUCUGGGCCAUAACUGACGCUGAGAAGCGAAAGCAUGGGGAGCGAACAGG
rnacentral:rRNA from 1 species